rnacentral:lncRNA from 1 species
CUUGGUCCCGGCUGGAAUUGCGCCAAGGAAGUGGGCGCGGGCUCGGGGAGCGGGGGGGAGAUUUGGGUAGGCGUGGAUCGGGGUAGUGUCAAAAGCUACAGUGACCCUCCUCAACUUGGGUCCGUGAGCCCGGGACGGGCGGGAUCCCGGGACUACGUUCUUGCUGGUGUCGCGCUGCAGGUGUCGAGCCUGGUGCCAGUGCGAGCCAAGUGGUGGACAACAAGGUGAGGAGUGUCGUCGGGGUGUGGAAAGAGAACCAAGCUUUAAUGAAGGUCUGACAUGUUCCAGGUGGAGUGGUACCUGCUUUUCCAAAGAUCUCUGUCUUCACGCAAAGGCUGCAGAAAAUGACCAAGUUCCAGGAAUGUGUUGUUGCAGGGACCAGUAUCAUUCAAGGACGUGGCUGUGGAUUUCACCCAGGAGGAGUGGCAGUAUCUGGACCUUCCCCAGAGGGAUCUGUACAGGGAUGUGAUGCUGGAGAACUAUAUCAACCUCAUCUCUGUGGGUGAGGACCGCUUCCCAGUGCUGAUUGGCGUGUACCCAGUUAACAACUUUUCCUUUUU